AGUGGCGAACGGGUGAGUAAUAUAUCGGAACGUACCCGGCAAUGGGGGAUAGCUCGGCGAAAGCCGGAUUAAUACCGCAUAUGCCCUGAGGGGGAAAGUGGGGGACCGUAAGGCCUCACGUUGUCGGAGCGGCCGAUAUCAGAUUAGCUAGUUGGUGGGGUAAAGGCCUACCAAGGCGACGAUCUGUAGCGGGUCUGAGAGGAUGAUCCGCCACACUGGGACUGAGACACGGCCCAGACUCCUACGGGAGGCUGCAGUGGGGAAUUUUGGACAAUGGGGGAAACCCUGAUCCAGCCAUGCCGCGUGAGUGAAGAAGGCCUUCGGGUUGUAAAGCUCUUUCGGACGGAAAGAAAUCCUAUUCACUAAUACUGAGUGGGGAUGACGGUACCGUAAGAA
rnacentral:rRNA from 1 species